GGAGGCCGUCUCCAGGGGCGGGGUGGCCCU
rnacentral:sRNA from 1 species